AAAUUGAAGAGUUUGAUCAUGGCUCAGAUUGAACGCUGGCGGCAGGCCUAACACAUGCAAGUCGAACGGUAACAGGAAGCAGCUUGCUGCUUCGCUGACGAGUGGCGGACGGGUGAGUAAUGUCUGGGAAACUGCCUGAUGGAGGGGGAUAACUACUGGAAACGGUGGCUAAUACCGCAUAACGUCGCAAGACCAAAGAGGGGGACCUUCGGGCCUCUUGCCAUCAGAUGUGCCCAGAUGGGAUUAGCUAGUUGGUGAGGUAACGGCUCACCAAGGCGACGAUCCCUAGCUGGUCUGAGAGGAUGACCAGCCACACUGGAACUGAGACACGGUCCAGACUCCUACGGGAGGCAGCAGUGGGGAAUAUUGCACAAUGGGCGCAAGCCUGAUGCAGCCAUGCCGCGUGUAUGAAGAAGGCCUUCGGGUUGUAAAGUACUUUCAGCGGGGAGGAAGGUGUUGUGGUUAAUA
rnacentral:rRNA from 1 species